UACAGAGGUCUCAACCGUUGUUCGGAUUCAUUGGGCGUAAAGAGCGUGUAGGCGGCCAGGUAGGUCUGCUGUGAAAACUCGAGGCUCAACCUCGAGACGUCGGCGGAAACCAUCUGGCUAGAGUCCGGAAGAGGAGAGUGGAAUUCCUGGUGUAGCGGUGAAAUGCGCAGAUAUCAGGAAGAACCCCCGUGGCGAAGGCGGCUCUCUGGGACGGUACUGACGCUGAGACGCGAAAGCGUGGGGAGCGAACAGG
rnacentral:rRNA from 1 species